GGCAGCGUGGUGCACUGGUUUGAGUGUUGGACUUCGACUCUGGAGACCAGGCUUCGAUUCCCAGCUCGGCCA